rnacentral:misc_RNA from 1 species
GAGAUAAAUUGACUAGUGGAUUCAACAUAAAACUUAUCAAAUUGACCAACACAACACAUAGAUGGACUAGUUAACUUGACAGACAACACUAAAACAAAUCAAACUCUGAAGUUGAGGGAGAGAAAGAGGACUAAGGCGCCUUUAACAUAACCGAAGGAGAUCUGGAUCGAGGGGAAAACUGAAGCAAGAACCCCAAUCUCAUUGACGAUGGCG